GCAAUGAUGACUUCUGUAGCACUGAUCAUAAAUGAUGAUACCACAUGUCCUCUAAGAAGUUCUGAGCUU